GAUGAACGCUGGCGGCGUGCCUAAUACAUGCAAGUCGAGCGAACAGAUAAGGAGCUUGCUCCUUUGACGUUAGCGGCGGACGGGUGAGUAACACGUGGGUAACCUACCUAUAAGACUGGGAUAACUUCGGGAAACCGGAGCUAAUACCGGAUAACAUUUGGAACCGCAUGGUUCUAAAGUGAAAGAUGGUUUUGCUAUCACUUAUAGAUGGACCCGCGCCGUAUUAGCUAGUUGGUAAGGUAACGGCUUACCAAGGCAACGAUACGUAGCCGACCUGAGAGGGUGAUCGGCCACACUGGAACUGAGACACGGUCCAGACUCCUACGGGAGGCAGCAGUAGGGAAUCUUACGCAAUGGGCGAAAGCCUGACGGAGCAACGCCGCGUGAGUGAUGAAGGGUUUCGGCUCGUAAAACUCUGUUAUUAGGGAAGAACAAAUGUGUAAGUAACUGUGCACGUCUUGACGGUACCUAAUCAGAAAGCCACGGCUAACUACGUG
rnacentral:rRNA from 1 species